rnacentral:rRNA from 1 species
AGCGAACGCUGGCGGCAGGCCUAACACAUGCAAGUCGAACGAACUCUUCGGAGUUAGUGGCGGACGGGUGAGUAACACGUGGGAACGUGCCUUUUGGUUCGGAAUAACUCAGGGAAACUUGUGCUAAUACCGAAUGUGCCCUUCGGGGGAAAGAUUUAUCGCCAUUAGAGCGGCCCGCGUCUGAUUAGCUAGUUGGUGAGGUAACGGCUCACCAAGGCGACGAUCAGUAGCUGGUCUGAGAGGAUGACCAGCCACACUGGGACUGAGACACGGCCCAGACUCCUACGGGAAGCAGCAGUGGGGAAUCUUGCGCAAUGGGCGAAAGCCUGACGCAGCCAUGCCGCGUGAAUGAUGAAGGUCUUAGGAUUGUAAAUUUCUUUCACCGGGGACGAUAAUGACGGUACCCGGAGAAGAAGCCCCGGCUAACUUCGUG